rnacentral:rRNA from 1 species
UACGUAGGGUGCAAGCGUUGUCCGGAAUUAUUGGGCGUAAAGAGCUCGUAGGCGGUUUGUCGCGUCUGCUGUGAAAACUCAGGGCUUAACCCUGAGCCUGCAGUGGGUACGGGCAGACUAGAGUGUGGUAGGGGAGAUCGGAAUUCCUGGUGUAGCGGUGGAAUGCGCAGAUAUCAGGAGGAACACCGGUGGCGAAGGCGGAUCUCUGGGCCAUAACUGACGCUGAGGAGCGAAAUCAUGGGGAGCGAACAGG